rnacentral:tRNA from 1 species
GGGCUCGUAGCUCAGCGGCAGAGCACGCGGCUCAUAACCGCUCGGUCGAAGGUUCGAAUCCUUCCGGGCCCACAA